GGCGGCGUGCCUGAUACAUGCAAGUAGAACGCUGAAGGAGGAGCUUGCUUCUCUGGAUGAGUUGCGAACGGGUGAGUAACGCGUAGGUAACCUGCCUGGUAGCGGGGGAUAACUAUUGGAAACGAUAGCUAAUACCGCAUAACAGUAGAUGUUGCAUGACAUUUGCUUAAAAGGUGCAAUUGCAUCACUACCAGAUGGACCUGCGUUGUAUUAGCUAGUUGGUGGGGUAACGGCUCACCAAGGCGACGAUACAUAGCCGACCUGAGAGGGUGAUCGGCCACACUGGGACUGAGACACGGCCCAGACUCCUACGGGAGGCAGCGGUAGGGAAUCUUCGGCAAUGGACGGAAGUCUGACCGAGCAACGCCGCGUGAGUGAAGAAGGUUUUCGGAUCGUAAAGCUCUGUUGUAAGAGAAGAACGGGUGUGAGAGUGGAAAGUUCACACUGUGACGGUAUCUUACCAGAAAGGGACGGCUAACUACGUGCCAGCAGCCGCGGU
rnacentral:rRNA from 1 species